rnacentral:rRNA from 1 species
ACCCCAGACUCCUACGGGAGGCAGCAGUGGGGAAUAUUGGGCAAUGGGCGCAAGCCUGACCCAGCAACGCCGCGUGAAGGAAGAAGGCUUUCGGGUUGUAAACUUCUUUUCUCAGGGACGAAGAAAGUGACGGUACCUGAGGAAUAAGCCACGGCUAACUACGUGCCAGCAGCCGCGGUAAUACGUAGGGGGCAAGCGUUAUCCGGAUUUACUGGGUGUAAAGGGAGCGUAGACGGCGGCGCAAGUCCGGAGUGAAAGCCCACGGCCCAACCGUGGGACUGCUCUGGAAACUGUGCGGCUUGAGUGCGGGAGGGGCAGGCGGAAUUCCUAGUGUAGCGGUGAAAUGCGUAGAUAUUAGGAGGAACACCAGUGGCGAAGGCGGCCUGCUGGACGACAACUGACGGUGAGGCGCGAAAGCGUGGGGAGCAAACAGGAUUAGAUACCCUGGUA